GAUGAACGCUGGCUACAGGCUUAACACAUGCCAGUCGAGGGGAAACGGCAUUGAGUGCUUGCACUGAAUGGACGUCGACCGGCGCACGGGUGAGUAACGCGUAUCCAACCUUCCCGUUACUGCGGGAUAACCUGCCGAAAGGCAGACUAAUACCGCAUGUUCUUCGAUGACGGCAUCAGAUUCGAAGCAAAGAUCCGUCGGUAACGGAGGGGGAUGCGUCUGAUUAGCUAGUUGGCGGGGCGACGGCCCACCAAGGCGACGAUCAGUAGGGGUUCUGAGAGGAAGGUCCCCCACAUUGGAACUGAGACACGGUCCAAACUCCUACGGGAGGCAGCAGUGAGGAAUAUUGGUCAAUGGGCGGAAGCCUGAACCAGCCAAGUAGCGUGCAGGAUGACGGCCCUACGGGUUGUAAACUGCUUUUAUGCGGGGAUAAAGUGAGGGACGCGUCCCUUUUUGCAGGUACCGCAUGAAUAAGGACCGGCUAAUUCCGUG
rnacentral:rRNA from 1 species